rnacentral:rRNA from 1 species
GACGAACGCUGGCGGCGUGCUUAACACAUGCAAGUCGAACGGAAAGGCCCUGCUUUUGUGGGUUGCUCGAGUGGCGCACGCGUGAGUAACACGUGAGUAACCUGCCCUUGACUUUGGGAUAUCUUCAGGAAACUGCGGCUCAUAUCGGGUAUGAGCUCCUGCUGCAUGGUGGGGGUUGGAGAGUUUCGGCUGUUCUGGAUGGACUCGCGGGUUCUGGGCUUGUUGGUGGGGUAGUGGCUUACCAAAGCUUUGACGGAUAGCCGGCCUGAGAGGGUGACCGGGCACAUUAGGACUGAGAGAGGGACCAGACUCCUACGGGAGGCAGCAGUGGGGAAUAUUGCGGAAUGGGCGGAAGCGUGAGGCAGCAGCGUCGCGUGCGGGAUGACGGCCUUCGGGUGAUAAACCGAUUUCGACGGUGACGAAGAGUGAGUGACGGUAAUGGAUAAAGAAGCACCGGCUAACUACGUG